CUUGAUCGACCCGAGCCACAGCGGCCGGUCCCCGGUCCGGUCCUGGCCGUAGGUGGCGAUCAGGGCCUGGGCCUC
rnacentral:antisense_RNA from 1 species